CUCUCUUUUUCUUUCUCCUUUCUUCUUCUUCUUCCCUUUGCUUUUUCAUUCCUUUGAGCGCCCAGCCGCGUCGCUUCUCCUUCGUCGCCCACUGCCACCGUCGACUCCUCCUCUCGGUGGUGCUAGCCUCGGCGUUUUCUCCUCUUCUUCUCUCCUCUUUUUUCUCUUCUUUCCCUUAUCUUCUCAUAUCUUCUCCCUUUGGCUUUCUCUUUUUCUUCUCUUCCCCCUUUCUUUUCUUUCUCUUUCGAAAGCCCGGAAACUAGAGGCAACGCCGCCUCUCCAAACCGCCGUUCGCCACUCGAUCCUCUUCCGCCUUAAGUGAUCGUGAUAAAGGUGGCAGCAGAGAAGGGAAGCAAGGCCGAUUGGAGGUGUCAGGCGUGGAAGGCGUUGCACGCAAGAACGCAGAUUGAGGGCCGUCUUGUCAUGCCAGAAGGACCAAAAUGUAACGCGCGCAAAGUUUCUGGGGCAAAAAUGUAAUUUUAGGAAAAUAUAGGGCUCAAAGUGUAAUUUUGAGAAAGUUUAGGGGUUGAAAUGUAAUUUAGAAAAGUUUAGGGGUUGAAAUGUAAUUUAGAAAAGUUCAGGGGCCAAAAUGUAAUUUAUAUUUUUUGUUUUGUUUUUUUUUCA